rnacentral:rRNA from 1 species
UGGGGAAUUUUGGACAAUGGGCGAAAGCCUGAUCCAGCAAUGCCGCGUGUGUGAAGAAGGCCUUCGGGUUGUAAAGCACUUUUGUCCGGAAAGAAAUCCUUGGCUCUAAUACAGUCGGGGGAUGACGGUACCGGAAGAAUAAGCACCGGCUAACUACGUGCCAGCAGCCGCGGUAAUACGUAGGGUGCAAGCGUUAAUCGGAAUUACUGGGCGUAAAGCGUGCGCAGGCGGUUUGCUAAGACCGAUGUGAAAUCCCCGGGCUCAACCUGGGAACUGCAUUGGUGACUGGCAGGCUAGAGUAUGGCAGAGGGGGGUAGAAUUCCACGUGUAGCAGUGAAAUGCGUAGAGAUGUGGAGGAAUACCGAUGGCGAAGGCAGCCCCCUGGGCCAAUACUGACGCUCAUGCACGAAAGCGUGGGGAGCAAACAGGAUUAGAUACCCUGGUAGUCCACGCCCUAAACGAUGUCAACUAGUUGUUGGGGAUUCAUUUCCUUAGUAACGUAGCUAACGCGUGAAGUUGACCGCCUGGGGGAGUACGGUCGCAAGAUUAAAACUUAAGGAAUUGACGGGGUCAUAGCUGUUUCCU